rnacentral:rRNA from 1 species
CCUACGGGAGGCAGCAGUGGGGAAUUUUGGACAAUGGGCGCAAGCCUGAUCCAGCAAUGCCGCGUGCAGGAUGAAGGCCUUUGGGUUGUAAACUGCUUUUGUACGGAACGAAACGGUGAGCUCUAAUACAGUUUGCUAAUGACGGUACCGUAAGAAUAAGCACCGGCUAACUACGUGCCAGCAGCCGCGGUAAUACGUAGGGUGCGAGCGUUAAUCGGAAUUACUGGGCGUAAAGCGUGCGCAGGCGGUGAUGUAAGACAGAUGUGAAAUGCCCGGGCUCAACCUGGGACCUGCAUUGUGACUGCAUCGCUAGAGUACGGUAGAGGGGGAUGGAAUUCCGCGUGUAGCAGUGAAAUGCGUAGAUAUGCGGAGGAACACCGAUGGCGAAGGCAAUCCCCUGGACCUGUACUGACGCUCAUGCACGAAAGCGUGGGGAGCAAACAGGAUUAGAUACCCUGGUAGUCCACGCCCUAAACGAUGUCAACUGGUUNUUGGGUCUUCACUGACUCAGUACGAAGCUAACGCGUGAAGUUGACCGCCUGGGGAGUACGGCCGCGAAGGUUGAAACGUCAAAGAUA